UACGAAGGGGGCUAGCGUUGUUCGGAAUCACUGGGCGUAAAGCGCACGUAGGCGGAUGUGCCAGUCAGGGGUGAAAUCCCGGAGCUCAACUUCGGAACUGCCUCUGAUACAGCACGUCUUGAGUCCGAUAGAGGUGGGUGGAAUUCCUAGUGUAGAGGUGAAAUUCGUAGAUAUUAGGAAGAACACCGGUGGCGAAGGCGGCCCACUGGAUCGGUACUGACGCUGAGGUGCGAAAGCGUGGGGAGCAAACAGG
rnacentral:rRNA from 1 species